UUGGAAAGACAAAAUGGUGGAAUCAAUUGAUCCACAGAGACUUUGCACAUUACUCAGGGAAGGACAUUUCAACUCGAUCAGGAAAAUUGCAUGCACACUGGACACAAAAGAGAUCACAAGACCAGCUAGAAUCUUUGAGGCAUAACAGCACUGUAUUUUGUGGUCAGUAGCUAAGUGGUUCUUGAGAUUGUUAAGAAGUCAGGGGUAUAUCUGCAGCUUUGGGACAGUCACUCAACUACUUUUGGAGAGCAGCAGUAACAAGGCCAUGACAGCCUGACAGGAGUGAGAGUUGACUAAAUAGAACCUUGAAAAACAUCUUGUGUCAAGAAAUUGACUUCAUGGAACCAAGGAGAGGAGAACACAUAUAUAAUGGGAUCCAUGUAAAGACAGGCUGACCCAUGGUUAUUCCUGACAAGAAUUCUGGGAUUCAGAAGAGGGUCCAAAUUCCAGCACCUUAAAAUGACCCCAGAAUGGAGUGAGGGCAAGAGGUGCACCACCUAACAAUAUUGGAUGCUGCCAGAUUUGCUGAAUUUCUGUAGAAAUUGUGUUUGUUUAAGAGAAGACAGUAAUAUUUGGAAAUGAACAUACUCAUCAUACAGCAUACAAAACAAACUGGACCAGGAUACAUUAUUUGCAGGUUUUACUGGCUUUUGCUUCUGACAACAAGCUCAAGUAAUCUGAGAUAUGUAUUAUUACCAAAAAGUAGCAAAAAUGUGACAGAUUACCAAAUGAAAGGUACAAUUUAUGGAGAUUAGUUUAUAAAAUGUAAUUUUAUUGACUAUAAUAUGUCUAGAUCUAAACUUUUGUAGAAUGAUAUUAAAGAUUUAAGUAAAUAUAG